rnacentral:rRNA from 1 species
CACGUAGGGCGCAAGCGUUGUCCGGAAUUAUUGGGCGUAAAGAGCUCGUAGGUGGUUUGUUACGUCUGCUGUGAAAACCUAGGGCUUAACCCUGGGCUUGCAGUGGAUACGGGCAGACUAGAGGUAGGUAGGGGAGAAUGGAAUCCUGGUGUAGCGGUGAAAUGCGCAGAUAUCAGGAGGAACACCGGUGGCGAAGGCGGUUCUCUGGGCCUUACCUGACACUGAGGAGCGAAAGCGUGGGGAGCGAACAGG